rnacentral:lncRNA from 1 species
AUAAGUGGAGCAUGCCAUUUUCCCUUGUAUGCUGGAUUUCUCUUCAUUGGCCUCUUCCAUUCACCACAACCUGGGCCUUCCUGACACUUUGGGUUAUCAGUCUUGGGUGCCUCCCACUCACCAUCUUCCUCCUCAUCCCAAUCUUCUGGUUUGGUUGCCUCAGGAUCAUCAAUCUCCUCAGGCUCAUCAUCCAACCAUCCUUCAGGUUUAACAGCAUCCUCAUCUUCAAUUUCCAUUGGUGCAUCCUCAUCCCAGUC